UACGGAGGGAGCUAGCGUUAUUCGGAAUUACUGGGCGUAAAGCGCACGUAGGCGGCUUUGUAAGUAAGAGGUGAAAGCCCCAGAGCUCAACUCUGGAAUUGCCUUUUAGACUGCAUCGCUUGAAUCAUGGAGAGGUCAGUGGAAUUCCGAGUGUAGAGGUGAAAUUCGUAGAUAUUGGGAAGAACACCGGUGGCGAAGGCGGCUCACUGGCUCAUUUCUGACGCUCAGGCGCGACAGCGUGGGGAUCAAACAGG
rnacentral:rRNA from 1 species